AUUGAACGCUGGCGGCAGGCCUAACACAUGCAAGUCGAACGGUAACAGGAAACAGCUUGCUGUUUCGCUGACGAGUGGCGGACGGGUGAGUAAUGUCUGGGAAACUGCCUGAUGGAGGGGGAUAACUACUGGAAACGGUAGCUAAUACCGCAUAACGUCGCAGGACCAAAGAGGGGGACCCUCGGGCCUCUUGCCAUCGGAUGUGCCCAGAUGGGAUUAGCUUGUUGGUGGGGUAACGGCUCACCAAGGCGACGAUCCCUAGCUGGUCUGAGAGGAUGACCAGCCACACUGGAACUGAGACACGGUCCAGACUCCUACGGGAGGCAGCAGUGGGGAAUAUUGCACAAUGGGCGCAAGCCUGAUGCAGCCAUGCCGCGUGUAUGAAGAAGGCCUUAGGGUUGUAAAGUACUUUCAGCGGGGAGGAAGGGAGUAAAGUUAAUACCUUUGCUCAUUGACGUUACCCGCAGAAGAAGCACCGGCUAACUCCGUG
rnacentral:rRNA from 1 species